rnacentral:rRNA from 1 species
AUUGAACGCUGGCGGCAUGCUUUACACAUGCAAGUUGAACGGUAACAGGCCUUCGGGUGCUGACGAGUGGCGAACGGGUGAGUAAUGCAUCGGAACGUACCCAGAGGUGGGGGAUAACGCAGCGAAAGCUGUGCUAAUACCGCAUGUGAUCUGAUGAUGAAAGCGGGGGACCGAGCAGCAAUGUUUGGCCUCGCGCCUUUGGAGCGGCCGAUGUCGGAUUAGCUAGUUGGUGGGGUAAAGGCCUACCAAGGCGACGAUCCGUAGCUGGUCUGAGAGGACGACCAGCCACACUGGGACUGAGACACGGCCCAGACUCCUACGGGAGGCAGCAGUGGGGAAUUUUGGACAAUGGGCGCAAGCCUGAUCCAGCAAUGCCGCGUGCGGGAAGAAGGCCUUCGGGUUGUAAACCGCUUUUGGCAGGAACGAAACGGUGUCCGCUAAUACCGGGCGCUAAUGACGGUACCUGCAGAAUAAGCACCGGCUAACUACGUG